CGCACAUUGCGCCCUCUGGUAUUCCGGAGGGCAUGCCUGUUCGAGCGUCAUUACAACCUUCAAGCUAUGCUUGGUAUUAGGUCCUCUUGUCUUUGAACGGUCAAACCUGAAAUAGAGCGGCAGUGAACAUUGGUUCUCCAGCGAAGUAAAUUUUUAUAAUCCGCUUUCGAGAAACUAUGCUUGCUUGCCGAGUCUAAAAACUCAUUUUUCUAUGGUUGACCUCGAAUCAGGUAGGGAUACCCGCUGAACUUAA
rnacentral:misc_RNA from 1 species